GGCAGAUCGUGAGUUGGUAUUUCGUUCCCGGGGACCUAUCAUCUCUCUCGGGCUCAUAAAAUGACUACCGCUUUGUGAGAGGCCAACCAACAGUGGCUGUCCUGUGGGAGGUCCGGGCACCAUCCCUGACGCUUGAAACGUUGAGGAUCGCACCACGGGCUCGGGGCGGCCAGCGGAGGUGGGCCGCAACCCAACGCCUUCGGACUCCGUUCCUUCUAACGUUACUAAUGCCAAAGUCUCGCCGGCGCCGCCGCCGAUGACGACCGGCGAUGGUGCCGGGGACGUUGCUGCUCCGCGCCGCCGUGCCGCGCUCUCGGCACCGCUAGCAGCCCGAUCGGUCCGACAGGGCGCCGGCGCGCUCCGACGCUGCCGCGCAUCUGCUUCCAAUAACGCUCCUUCCGCCUCGCGUCAUGCCGAGCGUUUAGCGCCGGCUGACCGGCAGCAGGCACCACGACAGCGGAUUAGUCCGCCCGGGCUCGGAGCGGGCACAGGCGCGCGGGCACGAGACUCGCCGGUGUAGAACGGGGCGUGCGCGGGUGGAAGGGGCCGGUGCCGGGUGGCGCUAGCGCGUUAGCUAUCGCGCGAGGGCAUCGCCGGGGCGAAACCAGAAGCACGUGCCGGUGCCGCCGUCGCCUGGCCGGGCUUUGCGAGGCGGAAACGCUGGCGCACGCUCGUGGUCUCCACGUGCUGCGCGGGGACGGCAGAGGCGAGCGGUGGCCGAGUACCACAAUGGCACACGGCUGCACACGCAGCAGCUUCAUGACUACGGUGAAUACUCCGGGGCCUGCGGCUGAAUGAGCCAGAAGCUGCCGUAGUGAAUAAACCGGUGCCUGCCACGGUGAAUGACCCAGUGCCUGCCACGGCGAGCUUUUUCAGGAACUCGAUUGAGCAGCUCACUCUCUCCCUGGAUUAUUUCCCGUUGUUAUCGUUAUUGCUCGACGUGUUUAUAAAUCGUCUAAACGCGACGGCAUCUCAUUACGCGUUCAUUUAAAUGUUAAUUAUCGCGGUGCGGCGGAUAAACGCCGUGUGUGGAGAUGAUCCCUAAUGCAGUUGGGGAGUGUUGACGUUGGAGAAGAUUGGUUAAUUGCUCGUGUCGUGUCAGUAUUCCUGAUGAGCGUAAACACAAUCUGCGUGUUUGUUUAGCGGGCUGAAGGGCAUGCCGCUCACGACUCUCCGUCGCGGUUCCGCAUCACGUUGCGGCCAAGACGCCGUCGCGUUGCCCUCUUCGCCAACCACGAGCCCCGGGCGCUGAUUACUGGACGCGUCCAUCGGUGAACCUUAAUCACGUCUCAAGAUUUUUUUUUAUUACUUAAAAAAAAAUCGUUCAGAUGUUUCUUUUCACAACUGCAAUUUUGUGCGCAUUAAUACUUCUGUAAACGUAGGUAUUAUUUUUUUUUUACCAACGCGACUCUACCGAAAGAAUCAAAGAGUAUGGAUUCUUGCAGUCACGAAAGCUUCAAAUCAAGAUUGAAAUGUGAUAGAUAGGUCAGAGCUCGAGGUCGAUCGACUCGCGCGGUAACGGGAGUAGUUUGGUCGCACUCAACACGCUGGCCAGUGCCGGUUGGCGCAGGGAGCGGCCCCACGAUCGGUGCAGAGAUUGCUUGUCGCUGAUGUUGGCCUCGUCCCGGAAUCGCGUCUAAAUUAAAUUGCACUUGUGAGUUAGCGGUGAAGUAUGGUCAAACAACCCCCCACGAAUGGCACGGCACGGGGAGGCCUCCAUUCAGCGGUGGAAUGAUAACGGGCUGUUUCGAGUCGAAUUAAUUACGUGAUUAAUUAAUUGGCUGUUGAAGGGAGCGUGAAGCUCCGUUGUCUCUCACAGCAGUAGCCGGCUCCAACUCAGCCGGUUCCGUCUGGGUCAGCGAGCCGGCCGGAUAAAAUACACACCCGGCACACCACAUCCGCCAUCGCUACGACUGCGGCUACUGCGACUACUCGUCACGCACCACCUACUCCGGUCUGGCGGCGGUCCGGCAAAGUUAUCCGGAGAGCGUGGAUAGAUCGACGACCUUGGGUUGGAAUUCCAAGUGGAGCAGUGCGGUGUAAGAAGCGGAAGCAGAAGUGGUGCGGCCUGCAGUGUGUCGCAGGGGCGGCGGCGCAGCGGUCGGCGCACCGCACCCAGGACCGGUGCGACCCGAGGCCGAUUCCCGCCCCGCGGCUGACAUCUGAACCGGUCCUGGGCCUGCCUCCACCCUACGUCUUCACCAACCGCCACGGACCAGCCUGGUGAAGUAUGGACCCACAACCCUCAUGCCCAGCAUGGUGUGGAAGUGGGCUUCAUCCAGCAGUGGAUUGACAAAGUGGUUGUGAAUUAUUACUACGAUUUAUCGUUGUUCCUGCGUUUUUGGAUGCUCUGAUGUUUCGUAUGAAGCUUUGCAGGGUACCGCGUCAAAACGUGUCGCAAUUUCCAGGAUUCGUUUUGGCACGUGACGAGCCGCGUCCGUCGUGACGUCACAACUGGCGUGACACCAUAACGCGGGCGCACGUCCCAUACAGGGAAACCAUUAAACUCCCGAACGCUCGAUUCGUCAAAGUUGAGCUCGUAGGCUUCCCAAUCCCCUGCCUUCUGUUUCACGUAAUUCCUCGCAAUUGAAACGCAUAAACUCCUCAAAUGCGCGGCGCUAAUUAAACCCGGGAGAAAGGCGGAGGCUUAAAGUCGGUGAACUUCCCCGCGGCGCUGGGGGCGCGCACUCUGCUGGGCCCGUGCCCACCGCCUUCCUCUCGUACCCUGGGUGCGAUUGACCCAGCACCGUGUCCCCCUGUGCCCCCCUCCCCCCGAAACCCCAUCCCCCACCCACCCCAGCCACACCUCCUUUAUUGUUCCGUGGUUUGCGACGGACGCCUGUGGCUCAGCGCUGGGGCUUUGCGAGAUUCCGCGUCGUCGCUGCAACGGUUAUGAAGGCUCUGUUGUGCAAAGUGGAUGAAAACAAACACCACAAUAAACCGGGACCAUGUGGAGGUCGGGGAACUUGUGUGGAGGGGAGGGGGGUUAGGUGGUGGGGGGGGGGGCAGGAAGACUGGGGGGGUUAUUGGAGGGGAGGGGGGCGGAGAGUGCGUGAAAGGGGGAAAUAAAAUUAAAACAUAUAUCCUGCGCGGUUUCCGCAGGAAGCUGCUGGCAUGGGUUCGGUUAUCAAAGACGGCGCUGAGCUGUUGUAACGGUGGCGGCGGGCGGCGGGCGGCGCACGAGAAAUAAAAUGAAGGGGGAUACGAAAAAAAAAUGGGCAAUGGGUGGCUCGAGGCCAGCUCGUUGGGGGAGCGCAGUAAUUACCGCUAACCGAGGGAGGCAUUCCAGCAGCCGCGCCGGCGAGACACAAACACGCUGCCGGUACCGUCCUCCGCUGUCUGUCUGGCGCAGGCGGGCAGGCGGGCCGGCGGGGCGGCGGCAGUCUGGGCACUAACGUGGAACAGGCGCCUGAUUGCAAACACAUGGCACGGUGGGGUGGGCGGGCGGGGGGGGGUCAGAGAGUGGGCGAGCGAACUGGGAGAAGAGAGAAAGAUGAAGGCAGGCAGAGCGUGCGUACGGGAGAGAGGGAGCGAUAGCGUGCGGGAGAAUGGGAAAGUGAAAGGGCGGAGUGGGGAGAGCAGCGGGGAGCGGGAGAGGAGUACGCGGCUCGGGAGUGAAGAUGUUGGCGAUGGAGAAGAGGAGGUAGUGCGAGAUGGGAGGGAGGGAGGGAGGGAGCG